AUACGUAGGUCACAAACGUUGUCCGGAAUUAUUGGGCGUAAAGGGUCCGUAGGCGGUUCGGUAAGUCUCCUGUGAAAUCUUCAGGCUCAACUUGAAGAGGUCGGGGGAUACUGCUGAACUCGAGACAGAUAGAGGCAAGUGGAAUUCCCGGUGUAGUGGUGAAAUGCGUAGAUAUCGGGAGGAACACCAGUGGCGAAAGCGGCUUGCUGGGUCUGUUCUGACGCUGAGGGACGAAAGCGUGGGUAGCAAACCGGAUUAGAAACCCGAGUAGUCC
rnacentral:rRNA from 1 species